rnacentral:rRNA from 1 species
UACAGAGGGGGCAGGCGUUGUUCGGAAUUACUGGGCGUAAAGGGCGCGUAGGCGGCCUUCUAAGUCGGACGUGAAAUCCCCGGGCUCAACCCGGGAACUGCGUCCGAUACUGGAAGGCUUGAAUCCGGGAGAGGGAUGCGGAAUUCCAGGUGUAGCGGUGAAAUGCGUAGAUAUCUGGAGGAACACCGGUGGCGAAGGCGGCAUCCUGGACCGGUAUUGACGCUGAGGCGCGAAAGCCAGGGGAGCAAACGGG